UUUUUUUUGUUUUUUUGUUUCGUCUUUUUAGGGCACACCUGCGGUAUUUGGAGUUUCCCAGGCUAGGGGUCAAAUCAGAGCUGUAGCUGCCAGCCUAACCACAGCCACAGCAACACCAGAUCCAAGUCACAUCUGCAGCCGCAGCUCAUAGAAACACCAGAUCCUUAACCCACUGAGCAAGCUGCACUGUAGGUUGCAGAUGUGGCUCAAAUCCUGUGUUGCUGUGGCUGUGGAGCCAGCAGCUGCACCUCGAAUUUGACCGUAGCCUGGGAACUUCCACAUGCAUGGUUACGGCCCUAAAAAGAAAAAGUAAUAAUAUUUGUAUAUGCACAAAGCCAAAGAAAAACAUUUUGAUUUAUCAGGUGGCAGAAUUAUGGGUGACUAUUUUGUUUUCCUCUUCUACUUCAAGUUCCAUUAAUAUUGUCUGCAUAAUAAUAAACAAAAGUACUUAAAUUCUUUUAUAGAUGACAGUGUAAAUUGGCAGGCAAAAUUCUAAAACGAUCCCCCAAAACUCAUGUUCUUGUAUAAUCAUCUCUCCCUGAAUGUAGCUGGGACAAGUUACAACUUGUUUCUAACCAAUGAAAUAUGGCCAAGAUGAUGGGAUAUCACUUCCAUGAUUACACCAUUUUAAAUGGCAAAGGUGAGAAUAUUUUGCAGUUGUAAUUAAGGUCCCUAAUUGGCUGGCAUUAAUAUUAAUCAAAAGGGAGAUUUUCCCAGGUAAGUCCUUUAAGGGGGGCGUCUAGAGAUCAGAAACUUUCUUGCAGGCCUUGAAAAUCGAGUUGCCCCAUGUUCUAUAGCUGGAAGGAAAUGAAUUCAGCCAACAAUCAUGUGAGCUUGGAAAAAGACCCAAAGCCUCAAUGGCAUCUCAGCCCUAGCCAACACUUUUGAUUUGCAGCCUUAUGAGUCCCUGAGCAGAGGACUCAGCUUAAACUGUGCCCAGACUCCUAAUCCAUGGACACUGUGAGAUAAUACAUCUGUGGUGUUUAAGGUGCUAACUGUGGCGAUUUAUUAUGCAGCAAUAGAAAAGUAAUCCAGUAAUUAAAUUUAUUUUCUGCAGAAUCUUGGCUUUAACUACGGUUCAUCUCAAAUUAGAGGAAAUUAUUAGGCAUUUCACUUUUCACCAAGGAAUGCGAACCUCAACACAGCUUCACUGAAUAAGGCUCAUACUUAAUCAGUAAUACAGAAGGCUCUCUAUUUUAGAGAACUGCAAAGCACAUAAAAUCUCAAAUUCACUGCUGCUCAAGAUCUGGGAAAAGUUCCACACAAAACAACGUUUACGGAGAACUGUCUGCAGGAUGCUCCAUACAAUCCUUUUAUUUACUCAAAAACUUAAGGUCUCGGGGGACGAGGGAGGGAAUUAAUAUAAAAAUCUUUAAGAAAAUAGAUGACUACAGUAUUUUAAAUGUUCAUUUUAUUUAUUGUUUGUUUCUUUGUUUUAAUGCUGCCCCAGGGCAAAUGCAGUUGUUUCUUUUUUUGGCUGCCCUAGGGGAUUUGGAGUUCCCAGGUCAGGGAUCAGAUUCAAGCCUCAGUUUUGUUUUGUUUGUCUUUUCUAGGGCCCCACCCUCGGCAUACAGAGGUUCCCAAGCUAGGGAUCUCAUCAGAGCUGUAGCCCCUGAAUGGUCUAUGACCUAAACCACAGCUCACAGCAACGCCAAAUCCUUAACCCACUGAGUGGGAGGCUAGGGACUGAACCUGAAACCUCUGGUUCCUAGUUGGAUUGUUAACCACUGAGCCACGACAGGAACUCCUAAGCCUCAAUUUUGAGUUUCCACCCAGGAGGAAGCUGUGGUAAUGCCCUAUUCUUCAACCCACUGUGUUAGGCCAGGGAUGGAAGGCACAUACUGGCACUGCAGAUAUGCUGCCAAUGCCACAGUGGGAAUUCUUAUUUAUUUUACACCCCCCCACACAUAUACAUACAUAUAUAUAUAUACACACACACACAUAUAUACACACACACACACACACACAUAUAUAUAUAUAUAUAUUUUUUUUUUUUUUGGCCACACCCACAGCAUGUGGAAGUUCCUGGGCCAGGGAUGGAAACUGCGCCACAUCAGUGACCCCGGCUGCUGCAAUGACAACACCAUAUCCUUAGCUCACCAUGCCUUGCCAAGAGAACUUCCUAAAUGUUUAUUACGACAUUUUUACACUCUAAAAAAAAAUCUGUUUUUGAAACGAACUAUAGAAAACAAAAUUUAAUCAAAUGUUUUGGGCCAAAAGAAACAUCUAU
rnacentral:lncRNA from 1 species